rnacentral:rRNA from 1 species
UAGGGAAUCUUCGGCAAUGGGGGCAACCCUGACCGAGCAACGCCGCGUGAGUGAAGCAGGUUUUCGGAUCGUAAAGCUCUGUUGUAAGAGAAGAACGUGUGUGAGAGUGGAAAGUUCACACAGUGACGGUAACUUACCAGAAAGGCACGGCUAACUACGUUCCAGCAGCCGCGGUAAUACGUAGGUCCCGAGCGUUGUCCGGAUUUAUUGGGCGUAAAGCGAGCGCAGGCGGUUUAAUAAGUCUGAAGUUAAAGGCAGUGGCUUAACCAUUGUUCGCUUUGGAAACUGUUAAACUUGAGUGCAGAAGGGGAGAGUGGAAUUCCAUGUGUAGCGGUGAAAUGCGUAGAUAUAUGGAGGAACACCGGUGGCGAAAGCGGCUCUCUGGUCUGUAACUGACGCUGAGGCUCGAAAGCGUGGGGAGCAAACAGG